UGGGGAAUUUUGGACAAUGGGGGCAACCCUGAUCCAGCCAUGCCGCGUGCGGGAAGAAGGCCUUCGGGUUGUAAACCGCUUUUGUCAGGGAAGAAACGCUCCGGGCUAAUACCCCGGAGUAAUGACGGUACCUGAAGAAUAAGCACCGGCUAACUACGUGCCAGCAGCCGCGGUAAUACGUAGGGUGCAAGCGCUAAUCGGAAUUACUGGGCGUAAAGCGUGCGCAGGCGGUUAUGCAAGACAGAUGUGAAAUCCCCGGGCUCAACCUGGGAACUGCAUUUGUGACUGCAUGGCUUGAGUGCGGCAGAGGGAGAUGGAAUUCCGCGUGUAGCAGUGAAAUGCGUAGAUAUGCGGAGGAACACCGAUGGCGAAGGCAAUCUCCUGGGCCUGCACUGACGCUCAUGCACGAAAGCGUGGGGAGCAAACAGG
rnacentral:rRNA from 1 species